rnacentral:rRNA from 1 species
AACAGGAUUAGAUACCCUGGUAGUCCAUGCCGUAAACGAUGAGUGCUAAGUGUUGGAGGGUUUCCGCCCUUCAGUGCUGCAGCUAACGCAUUAAGCACUCCGCCUGGGGAGUACGACCGCAAGGUUGAAACUCAAAGGAAUUGACGGGGGCCCGCACAAGCGGUGGAGCAUGUGGUUUAAUUCGAUGCUACGCGAAGAACCUUACCAGGUCUUGACAUCUUCUGCCAACCUAAGAGAUUAGGCGUUCCCUUCGGGGACAGAAUGACAGGUCGUGCAUGGUUGUCGUCAGCUCGUGUCGUGAGAUGUUGGGUUAAGUCCCGCAACGAGCGCAACCCUUAUUGUUAGUUGCCAGCAUUCAGUUGGGCACUCUAGCAAGACUGCCGGUGACAAACCGGAGGAAGGUGGGGAUGACGUCAAAUCAUCAUGCCCCUUAUGACCUGGGCUACACACGUGCUACAAUGGACGGUACAACGAGUCGCGAAACCGCGAGGUCAAGCUAAUCUCUUAAAGCCGUUCUCAGUUCGGAUUGCAGGCUGCAACUCGCCUGCAUGAAGUUGGAAUCGCUAGUAAUCGUGGAUCAGCAUGCCACGGUGAAUACGUUCCCGGGCCUUGUACACACCGCCCGUCACACCAUGAGAGUUUGUAACACCCAAAGCCGGCGAGGUAACCUUCGGGGACCAGCCGUCUAAGGUGGGACAGAUGAUUAGGGUGAAGUCGUAACAAGGUAACC